rnacentral:rRNA from 1 species
GAUUGCAGGCUGCAACUCGCCUGCAUGAAGUUGGAAUUGCUAGUAAUCGCGAAUCAGAAUGUCGCGGUGAAUACGUUCCCGGGCCUUGUACACACCGCCCGUCACACCAUGAGAGCCGAUAACACCCGAAGCCUGUGAGCUAACCGUAAGGGGGCAGCAGUCGAAGGUAGAAUCAAUGAUUGGGGUGAAGUCGUAACAAGGUAUC